GGAAUUGACGGGGCCCGCACAAGCGGUGGAGCAUGUGGUUUAAUUCGACGCAACGCGCAGGACCUUACCUGGGCUUGACAUCCCGAUCGCAUCCCAUGGAAACAUGGGAGUCAGUUCGGCUGGAUCGGUGACAGGUGCUGCAUGGCUGUCGUCAGCUCGUGUCGUGAGAUGUUGGGUUAAGUCCCGCAACGAGCGCAACCCUUGUCCUUAGUUGCCAGCAUUCAGUUGGGCACUCUAAGGAGACUGCCGGUGUUAAACCGGAGGAAGGUGGGGAUGACGUCAAGUCCUCAUGGCCCUUAUGUCCAGGGCUACACACGUGCUACAAUGGGCAGUACAAAGGGCUGCAAGACCGUGAGGUUGAGCGAAUCCCAGAAAGCCGGUCUCAGUUCGGAUUGGAGUCUGCAACUCGACUCCAUGAAGUUGGAAUCGCUAGUAAUCGCGGAUCAGCAUGCCGCGGUGAAUGCGUUCCCGGGCCUU
rnacentral:rRNA from 1 species